rnacentral:rRNA from 1 species
AUGGCCAUCUCACUCAGCUUGGUCCUCUCCCCACCGCAACAAUGGCAGCUCCUCCUCCUCCUCCUAGCACUCGUCUCCCUCGGGCUCUUGACGAGGAGAAAACUGAGCAACAAGGGGCUCAGGCUGCCGCCGGGCCCGGCCCAAGUGCCGUUCCUGGGGAACCUGCACCAGGUAAGCCAGCUGCCGCACCGGAGCCUACGGGAUCUGGCGCGGCGGCACGGGCCAGUGAUGCAGCUGCAGCUCGGCACGGUGCCGACGGUGGUGGUGUCGUCAGCUGAGGCAGCGCAAGAGGUGAUGAAGACCCACGAUGAGGAUUGCUGCACCCGCCCCAUGUCCCCAGGGAUGAAGCGUCUGUCCUACGGCCUCAACAAUGUCGGGUUCGCGCCCUACGGCGCCUACUGGCACGCGAUGCGCAAGUUCCUCGUGGUCGAGCUCUUUGGCGUGCGCCACGCUAAAGCUGCAUGGAACGCACGCCAGCAUCAGGUGGAGAGACUGAUGAGCACCUUGAGCGGCUUGGUCGGAGAGCCGGUAGCCCUGAAGGAGCACGUCUUCAGCCUGGCCGAUGGCAUCAUCGGCAUGCUGGGUUUUGGAGACAUGUACAACAACGACAAGUUCCCACACCACAAGAACUUGGAGCACGUGCUCGAGGAGGCCACACAUGCGCAGGCAAGCUUCUCCGCUGAGGACUACUUCCCCAACAUCAUCGGACGCCUAAUCGACCGAAUCACCGGUCUCACCGCUCGCCGCGAGCGGAUCUUCAAGCAUCUUGAUGCCUUCUUCGAGAUCAUCAUUGAGCAGCAUCUUGACCCUCGGCGCGUUAAGCCUCAGAACGGCGGCGGUGACCUCGUCGACCGCCUCGUCGACCUCUGGAAGGACAACCGUGGCACCACGCUCGGUAUCACGAGAGACCAUGUCAAGGGCCUCAUCUUUGGUACGUUCAUUGGUGGCUCGGACGCGGCCUCGGUGACGAUCCUUUGGGCAAUGGCGGAGCUAAUCCGAAAGCCCCAUCUGCUGAAGAAGGUGCAAAAGGAGAUCAGGGACGUGGUGGGCAGCAACGAGAGGGUGCGACCGAACGACAUGCCCAAGAUAGGAUACCUCAAGAUGGUGGUCAAAGAGACACUGCGGCUGCACCCGCCGGCGACGAUGUUGUUGCCUAGGGAGGCCAUGCGGGACAUCCAGAUUGGUGGCUACGACGUGCCAGCAAAGACAAGGAUCUAUGUCAACGCCUGGGCCAUUGGCAGAGACCCGAUGAGCUGGCCAGAUGACCCGGAAGAGUUUAAGCCAGAUAGGUUCGAGGCGAGCGAGAUAGACUUCAAGGGCGCGAAUUUCGAGCUGAUACCGUUCGGCGCAGGGCGGCGCAUGUGUCCCGCCCUGUCCAUGAGUGUGGCCACCGUGGAGUUCACGCUGGCGAACCUGUUGUGCUGCUUCGAGUGGGCGCUCCCGGAUGGGACGAUGGUGAGUGUGGAGGAGCAAGGCAAGGUUAUCCCCCUCCUCAAGACGCCGCUCGUGCUGGUGCCCACCCCGCACGGGCGCGUGUGA